rnacentral:rRNA from 1 species
UGGGGAAUCUUAGACAAUGGGGGAAACCCUGAUCGUAGCCAUGCCGCGUGAGCGAUGAAGGCCUUAGGGUUGUAAAGCUCUUUCAGCUGGGAAGAUAAUGACGGUACCAGCAGAAGAAGCCCGGCUACUCCGUGCAGCAGCCGCGGUAAUACGUAGGUGGCAAGCGUUGUCCGGAUUUACUGGGCGUAAAGGAUGCGUAGGCGGAUUUUUAAGUGAGAUGUGAAAUACCCGGGCUUAACUUGGGUGCUGCAUUUCAAACUGGGAAUCUAGAGUGCGGGAGAGGAGAAUGGAAUUCCUAGUGUAGCGGUGAAAUGCGUAGAGAUUAGGAAGAACACCAGUGGCGAAGGCGAUUCUCUGGACCGUAACUGACGCUGAGGCAUGAAAGCGUGGGUAGCAAACAGGAUUAGAUACCCUGGUAGUCCACGCUGUAAACGAUGUCGAUUUUGGAGGUUGUGCCCUUGAGGCGUGGCUUCCGGAGCUAACGCGUUAAAUCGACCGCCUGGGGAGUACGGCCGCAAGG